UGUGAGAGUCAACAUGAAUCACUAGCAUUCAAACAAGUGCAUGGGAAUGGUUAGUCAAUACAAUUGGAUGGGACUUUUAAAUGCACAUGGAAUAAUAGUUAUGGGGAUUAAUGGCUCAACAUCAAAACGUGUGAAUGGAGAAUAUAAUAAAGAGAAACAUAACAAAUGAAAAGCCAUCAUGUUCUCACUAUCCCUCAGCCAGUCGUUGUCUCCACCGCGCCAGAGGCUCCCUCGGCUGUAAAGAUUUUCCAUAAAUCCGAAAUUCAAUCAUGAAUCCCUCCCUCUCAAAGUCCUCUACACAUAUCCAAUCUCAGUUUUCUCAGAUUCCUAACAAAUCAUACAAAUCGAGCUUAUCAAUGCAAGAACCCUAGCCACAGAUUUUGAAAUUAAAUGCUGGAUUGGAGGAAUAAAAGUCCCUAAGGUUAGGGAUUUGAUUCCUUGAUUUCUACUCUUCGUUAUGGUAACUAUAAUUAUGCCAACUGGUGAAGAAAACAUCACUUACCUACCGGAGACUAAGAUUGGAGAUCGGAGCAGAUGUGCGAGCGUUGACGAUGAAAUCUUCAAGUAAAGACUUGACUUUUUCUUCCCUUCUUUCCUCUGCUUAUUCUUCUUUCUUCUUUCUCUGUGGUUGCCAUAUUCCAGUGUGCAAGCUCGAAAUACGUAUGAUAGUGAUUAUGAUUAGGGAUGAGGAGGAGGACGAGCUCAACUAUGAGAGCUUCCAACGUUGAAGCUCUAUAGUUAUGGAAAUGAGCGUGUAGUGAAGGUGAGUUCAGAGAGAGAUAGGAUCAAAUUAGGAAUCAGAGAGACUUUUGAGAGCUCUGAGAUUUUGUGUGUUAUGAUGAAUUGAAUGAAGAAUCUUUGGAUGUGUGUGUGUGAUGUUUAAUUUAUAGAGCUCGAAUUCAGUUACGAAAUGCUCAUGCAAUUGCCCUCAAAAUCACUCAAAAUCAGUAGUUAGUUAUAAAUGAAAUAGUUAGUUGAAUUUUCAAAUUGAAAUAAAGUGUAAAAGAAAUGAAGUUUUAGUGAACUGAACUUCUGUUAGUUAGUAAAAAUUCGGUUACAAUUCGAAACAAAUUUCCUGUUAGCUUUUUCGUUUGGAUCCAGUUAGUUAGUUAUCCCAGUUAGUUGCAGUUAAAUAGUGAGUUAGUUAGCUGUGAAACUCGAGUGAGUUAGUUAAUGAAUCAGUUAAUUGGAACCUCUGAGUUAGCUGGUUUAUGAAUGAUAGGCUUUGAUAAAAUUUUGUUAUAUGUUCAGUUGGUGAAAUGAAACUCAAUUUCUGUUAGUGAUAUGUUGCUAUGCGAACUGAAUUUUGCUAUGCAUAUGCUGAUAAAUCAUGCCCGUGUAAUUGAUGGAUGCUUGUUAGUAGUAUGCCUAUGAUGCUAAGUAAACUAUAAUUGGGAUGUUGUUUCUGUUAUGUAAUGUCAUGUGCUAGGUCAUGUGCUAUUAGAAAUGUAUGGUAUGCUUGAUUGGUUUUUGCUAGGUUGUGAAGAUGAUAUGCAUCCAUGUGCAUUUGAAUGUUUUGUUUCCUGUCACAGCCGAAUCUGGAGCAAGAAGUCGGAGCAAGAAGUUGUAUGUCAUCAAGGCUUGCUCAUCCACCUAACUAUUGCAGAACCUAAUGCUAGGCAUACUAUAGCAUAACUUCAUGGUUCAAUUCUAACUGGAAUUAUUCUUGAUAUUUCACGGUUUAUGUAUUUUGUGAAGUGAUUCUGAUUUGUAACUGUAUAGCCCUUUGGCAUGACAUUAUCCAUUGUUGUGCUAGGUAUGAUGUAAGCUUGGCAUUGAUGUUUUAAAUCUAACUAUGUUCUCUCUACAGCAAGUGAUCAAGAUUCAUGUUUGCUAAUUUUCUUUGUCAUUCAAGUCUGACUUUGUUUAUGCAUUGCCUUGGUUUUGUUUGCAGCAUGAUGCGUCAUUGUAUACUGUUGUUGCAAGUCAGUUUUGGCAGGGUUCUGCAGCCUAUGUACUCAUGCUGACAUUGCAUUGCAGGGAGUUCCAUUUUUCUCAGGUUCAUGCAUGCCAUGUUCUGACUUUGGCUCAUGCAAGUCAUUUGGAUAAUGUACCAUCAAGAUUGGAUCUUGGACUAUCAUGUACAGAAUGCAAGCAUUCAAGGGUCAAUGAUCAAAGAAUGGAGAUUAUGGAUGGAAAUAGGAUUAGGGUUAGGAAAAUGAGGGUUUUGGGGAAUUGGGUUAACUUUGGUCAAAGUUGACCAAAAAGUCAAUUGUUGACCAAAGUCAACAUUUUGUCAGUAUUCCCAAAUUUUCGUAUUAUAUUCAUGUAAUGGACACUCUGAUUUACGAAUGGAAAUUGAUGUUUUUGACAAUAA